rnacentral:rRNA from 1 species
CGUAGGGACCGAGCGUUGUCCGGAUUCAUUGGGCGUAAAGAGCUCGUAGGCGGCUGCUCAAGUCGAAUGUGAAACCUCGAGGCUUAACCUCGAGCCUGCAUUCGAUACUGGGCGGCUAGAGUCUGGUAGGGGGAUCUGGAAUUCCUGGUGUAGCGGUGGAAUGCGCAGAUAUCAGGAGGAACGCCGGUGGCGAAGGCGGGAUCCUGGGCCAGUACUGACGCUGAGGAGCGAAAGCGUGGGGAGCAAACAGGAUUAGAUACCCUGGUAGUCCACGCCGUAAACGAUGGGCGCUAGGUGUGGGAGGUCAUCGACUCCUUCCGUGCCGCAGCUAACGCAUUAAGCGCCCCGCCUGGGGAGUACGGCCGCAAGGCUA